rnacentral:rRNA from 1 species
GAUUCCCCUAGUAACUGCGAGUGAAGCGGGAAAAGCUCAAAUUUAAAAUCUGGCAGUCUUUGGCUGUCCGAGUUGUAGUCUGGAGAAGCGUUUUCCGCGCUGGACCGUGUAUAAGUCCCUUGGAAUAGGGCGUCAUAGAGGGUGAGAAUCCCGUCUUUGACACGGACUACCAGUGCUUUGUGAUGCGCUCUCAAAGAGUCGAGUUGUUUGGGAAUGCAGCUCAAAAUGGGUGGUAAAUUCCAUCUAAAGCUAAAUAUUGGCGAGAGACCGAUAGCGAACAAGUACCGUGAGGGAAAGAUGAAAAGCACUUUGGAAAGAGAGUUAAACAGUACGUGAAAUUGCUGAAAGGGAAACGCUUGAAGUCAGUCGCGUUAUGCAGAACUCAGCCUGGCUUUUGCUUGGUGUAUUUUCUGUAUGACGGGCCAGCAUCAAUUUUGGCCGCUGGAGAAAGGCUCUAGAAAUGUGGCACCUCCGGGUGUGUUAUAGUCUAGGGUCAUAUACAGCGGCUGGGAUUGAGGUCUGCAGCACGCCUUUAUGGCUGGGGUUCGCCCACAUUCGUGCUUAGGAUGCUGGCGUAAUGGCUUUAAACGACCCGUCUUGAAACACGGACCAAGGAGUCUAACAUGCCUGCGAGUGUUUGGGUGGAAAACCCGAGCGCGUAAUGAAAGUGAAAGUUGAGAUCCCUGUCGUGGGGAGCAUCGACGCCCGGACCAGACCUUUUGUGACGGAUCUGCGGUAGAGCAUGUAUGUUGGGACCCGAAAGAUGGUGAACUAUGCCUGAAUAGGGUGAAGCCAGAGGAAACUCUGGUGGAGGCUCGUAGCGAUUCUGACGUGCAAAUCGAUCGUCAAAUUUGGGUAUAGGGGCGAAAGACUAAUCGAACCAUCUAGUAGCUGGUUCCUGCCGAAGUUUCCCUCAGGAUAGCAGAAACUCGUAUCAGAUUUAUGUGGUAAAGCGAAUGAUUAGAGGCCUUGGGGUUGAAACAACCUUAACCUAUUCUCAAACUUUAAAUAUGUAAGAACAAGCCGUCUCUUAAUUGGACCGCUUGGCGAUUGAGAGUUUCUAGUGGGCCAUUUUUGGUA